rnacentral:tRNA from 1 species
UCCUGGUAAGCUCAGUUGGUAGAGCGCUUCACUGGAAAUGGAGAGGUCCCUUAUUCGAUACCAGGACCAAACGGAU